rnacentral:tRNA from 1 species
GAAAGGACCACAAGAACUGCUAACUCCUUAGACCUGACACUAAACUAUCAGACCUUUC